CCCAUGUUAAAAGGCUUGAUUUUCCCCUGCAAAGACAAGAAAGCCGGGUCAUUUGGUGCUUGCCCUGUUUGAGCAGUGAUACCCCAGAUAGCUAUACCAUGGAGCCCAUUCGUAUAAUGAAAGACUAUGGGAAAGACUUUGGCUCCAUGGCAAUUGAACUGUAUGUGUGUGCUCUGAGCGCCAUUCAGUAAUAAUGUGCGCUUAGACCUAAGCUAUCUGGGCAUAUGUUG